rnacentral:rRNA from 1 species
ACGGGAGGCAGCAGUGGGGAAUAUUGGGCAAUGGGGGCAGCCCUGACCCAGCGACGCCGCGUGAGUGAAGAAGUAUUUCGGUAUGUAAAGCUCUAUCAGCAGGGAAGAUAAUGACGGUACCUGACUAAGAAGCCCCGGCUAACUACGUGCCAGCAGCCGCGGUAAUACGUAGGGGGCAAGCGUUAUCCGGAUUUACUGGGUGUAAAGGGAGCGUAGGCGGCGUUGCGAGUCAGAUGUGAAACCCCGGGGCUUAACUCCGGGACUGCAUUUGAAACUGUGAUGCUAGAGUGCGGGAGAGGUAAGCGGAAUUCCUAGUGUAGCGGUGAAAUGCGUAGAUAUUAGGAGGAACACCAGUGGCGAAGGCGGCUUACUGGACGGUAACUGACGUUGAGGCUCGAAAGCGUGGGGAGCAAACAGGAUUAGAUACCCUGGUA